UCAAUAUUGAUUUCAGCCAAUCAAAUUCGUGAAUUUGGUAGUUCCCAGUCCUUGUGAGACACAGCCAUGAAAUAAAUCAAGAUAUUAAUCCUUUAGCCUCUAAGAGUGACUAGCAUCUGGUUUCUCUCCGCAAUAACAUCCCUGAGUCAAACGUUACGGUCACGAAAAUAGAUGAAAUGAUCACCUACUAAAGAAGCUCUUCAGUAGAUGCUGAACAAAUUCUCCUUGUCUGGCCCUUAGGAAAUGUAUAGAGAACAGUAUGGAGAAUAUGCACACAGAUGUUAGGGUGGGAAAGGUUAAGACGUUAAAAUCAUCAUGAGAAAGACGGAUGUGUUGAUCUUUUAACACGAUGAAUAAUCACAAUUUUAUAAAAACAUCGACAGUGAUUUAGUGUGUUCUGUACUCUUGUCGACUGAGAACGAUAUUCGUGCUCGCAGAGUCAAAUGUUGUGGAUUCACGAGGCGCACCUAAACCACUGUUGGUUUGUUUGUUUGUUUGUUUUUAUCACAAUAUCGACGUCAAAUUGGCGCGUCAUCAAUGUUUGAGAGGUGAUAAAGACAUUGCGUGACACUUUGAUUCGAGCAGCGUUGUCUGUGCAGUUAUCGACAGCUGCAAAUUGGAUUAUUACGUUGCGACAUUACUGCCAAUUGUGGUAAAACAACAUACUCAUGAACAUGUAUGGAGACGUUUACAAUGCGAGAUUUCAAUAACUGUUCAUAUUGCUAUUGUAAUUUAUUAUAGACCGCCUUUCACGAUUGAAUGUCGUAAAACUAAAAGAAAAUGAAUCAGAGUGACUAAUCAGAGGGUAAGAAAAUAUUAGAGAGAUCCAACGAGAACAAUUGAAAGGCCAUGGACCGUGGGAAACUCGGCCGAGUCGCGAUUCAUUUUUAGUUUUACUUUUGAUAUGCUGUGAAGGUGGCGCACGUUACUGAUAGAGCCGCGGGUUUCGACUGAGUGUCAUAAUACCAAAAAACAGCCGAUCAGAACAAAGGAAAAAACUUUCACAGCCACUGAGAACUCAAAGUAAAUAACCAUACUAUUAAAAACGCGGGGAAACACGGGCGACCAAUUCGCGAUCGGCUUUAGUUUCGCAUCUGAUUGGUUGAGUAAGUGGUGCGAGUAUUAUGGACCCAUCAUUGAGCGAAGUUAAGUAAAAAACCAGUGUAAACUCGGAUCACUUUCCACAUUCAAUUGAAAAUUGCUCCAUCCUCAUUUGCUACUUUGUCAUCCCGACGUGAUAUCCUCCAAAAAUUCCAAGUGCCUGAAUAUGGUAAAAAUGACAUAUGGUCAUCGCAUGGCAUAAUUUGAAAGAUUUGAUUUUACAUAUUUCAUUCGAUUUAUAAUUUGAUGCAUGAACAAUGUUAAACGUGAUUUUGAAACAAAAUAUAUUUUUUUUUUCUAAAAUAAAAUUUUUUUUCUCAUAAUAAACUUAGUGUUCUUUGGAUCUAUUUUUUACAACUCGUUAGCACUGAAACCACCGAUACGCAACGUCUUGCCUUUAAUAUCAGUUUCCAGUAAAAUGCCUUGAAAAGAGGUUCAUCAAAAGACCGAAAACCAGAGUAGCAACAGCUCCUUACGAACCGCGCUUUCCGCAUUAUUUUUCAAAAUGGCGGCGUCUGAAGUUGAAUUUUUAGCACGGUUGGGGAAGUGUUUCAAACGGCCAAGGUACUCUUUGGAAUCUCAGAACGCAGUUAGAAGGGCUGGCUCUUAAAGAUUCCAUAACAGUUGCACCCAGACGCACUUACUCGGCCACGUCUGAGUAGGUAAUAGAACAUGCAAAUCGGCUCACUUCUCUCUAUUUUUCUUUCUUUUGUUUUUACUCGUCAGGUAUUAUUUUAAGCAUCAUUAUUUUUCAAAGGUUUUGCUUCCGUUCUAUUGUAAUUUUCAACUAGUGUUUCAGAAAACGGGCGCACAGCAGUCAUCAAGUCAAGAAUAUUCCUUGGGCGACACCGGCUGAAGUUUCGUUUUGGUAAAUGAAGUAAUUCGCAAAAAAUGGGCCAAGUAUAGUUCAUAAAUACUGUAUAUAUAC
rnacentral:lncRNA from 1 species